rnacentral:rRNA from 1 species
UGCAUAUCAAAUAAGCGGAGGAAAAGAAACCAACUGGGAUUACCUUAGUAACGGCGAGUGAAGCGGUAAAAGCUCAAAUUUGAAAUCUGGUACUUUCAGUGCCCGAGUUGUAAUUUGUAGAAUUUGUCUUUGAUUAGGUCCUUGUCUAUGUUCCUUGGAACAGGACGUCAUAGAGGGUGAGAAUCCCGUUUGGCGAGGAUACCUUUUCUCUGUAAGACUUUUUCGAAGAGUCGAGUUGUUUGGGAAUGCAGCUCAAAGUGGGUGGUAAAUUCCAUCUAAAGCUAAAUAUUGGCGAGAGACCGAUAGCGAACAAGUACAGUGAUGGAAAGAUGAAAAGAACUUUGAAAAGAGAGUGAAAAAGUACGUGAAAUUGUUGAAAGGGAAGGGCAUUUGAUCAGACAUGGUGUUUUUUGCAUGCACUCGCCUCUCGUGGGCUUGGGCCUCUCAAAAAUUUCACUGGGCCAACAUCAAUUCUGGCAGCAGGAUAAAUCAUUAAGAAUGUAGCUACUUCGGUAGUGUUAUAGCUUUUUGGAAUACUGUUAGCCGGGAUUGAGGACUGCGCUUCGGCAAGGAUGU